ARAUUUAAUUAUUAUACCGAUUGUCUAAAAUGCAGCCUCUUUGUAAUUUUCAUUAAA
rnacentral:rRNA from 1 species